rnacentral:lncRNA from 1 species
AUGUUCCCAACCAACGGAAUUUCAGUAACUCCUGGGUUUGCUCCUAACCCAAAGCUGCUUCUUUAUGCGUGUAAGGAAUUACUGAAGGAACCAACCCCAGUAAGGAGCCUCAGGUCCCAAAAAAGGCUCUUGGGGACCGUGCAGCCGUGUUCCACAAGGCUGGUUCCCUGGCAGCGGCCCUUGGCGGGGACGUGGGAGCCCGUGGCGGGGUGCCUUCCACCCUCACAGCCGCAGAGGAGGGACUGGCAGCAGAGGCCGCAGCAGGCCUGCAGCAGCAGCAGCAGCAGCAGCAGCAGCAGCAGCAGCAGCAGCAGCGGGAGGCUGGUCCCAGCGCAGACCCCAGGCCAGCGAAGCCCGGGAGGCAGAGCUACAGACGACAAGGGCGGUGCAAAGAUUUCCGUCUGUCUGCGAAGGGUUGAGGGGGAGCCUCCCAGAGGGCAGGGAAAAGAGCUCAAUUACUCACCGCCCUCGGCCGCUCUGACUGAUUUCUGCCUUCGCUUCUGCUCUUUAAUUGAUUAUAAACUAACCAGAAAUCCCCAGGGAGCCCUCAGCCUCUGCUGAGGUAGCCGUUGGGUUGGGGCACCGUCACAAGCCGAGGAUUUUGUGGCUGAAAGGUAUAGCGAGUGACCCGGGGCUGGCCGGCUGUGUGACGCACUCCAGCAUACAUCGGAUGACUCAUAGAAGUCAGAUGGAAAAGACCCAUUAGGUCAUUUUUUCCAUCUCCCAGCCAUUGCAGGUUUGCUCUCUGCCAAGGUGGGAUUAUAUUCAAAUAUUUGGUCCAGUCUCGUUUGAACGGAUUCGAGUAAUAGGCUCCCACAACCUCCCCAGGGACCUUAAUUCCACAGGAUCAUUGAUCUCAGUCUUCGGAAAAUGUUCCUGAGGUUCACUUUAAAUUUUCCUUUGCUCAAUUUCAUCCCAUUAAUCCUACUUAUUACCCCUCAGGCCACCCUAAAUAAUAUCCCUUCUUCUUUCAUGUUGACAGUCCUCCAAUCCUGGGGUGGGGGGCGGGGGGCAGAUACAAAAAUGUCUUCUUGGCUGGGCUCGCGGCCCUAAGUAUGAAAUGAAGACUAGAAGUAUUCUGAAUAAUAGCUUACCGUGUUGGGGGGACGAUGUGUGUCCGAUGAGAAAGGGUUUUCCAGAUUGCCCAAGAAUUGUUCAGACAAUCAAUGGCAGGUGUUUCUGGGUCUGACUUUACAUUCGAAAGAGUCUGAGCAGGACAGCAGCAAAGGAGAGAGCCCGGGACCUGUCAUACUGUCCCCCAACGUGGAUAAUGGGCCACUGUCCUCAUAGCCUGGGGGGAGAUGAUUCUGUAUAAUCCUCUGAUUAUUUUUCUGCUGAGGGCAGGAAUCACUUCAAAGAGCAAACAUCUACCUGAGUCAACUUCUCUGAGCAUAAAUGUCCCUCCCUCUGGCCCGGGUCGUGGCAGACGUGACAGCUGGGGAGUCAGCCGCAACCCGAGUGGCCGCCAGGGUGGGAACCUGCCGCCAGGGUGGGGCUACCGACAAUACAAAUUCUCGGGGUCCAUCUCAGACCCACUGUGAUUCAGAAUCGAUGUCCAAAGCCUAGCGACCUACGUUUUUAACAAGUUUCAUAACAUUUGAAAGGCACAGACCUUGGGGUAACUCUAAUCCCACAGCAUUUGAGAGCAUCUUGGAUGAAACUGGGGAACCUCAGCUUUUGCAUCCGAAGUGCAAGAGUUCGGCUGGCGAUGAGACAGAAGUCAGGAGUCAGGGAGGAAGUCAGUCCACAACUGAGAGCAGGAGUUGGCACUGUGGCUCGGGGCGUUAAGAACCCAACACGGUGUCUGUGGGGAUACGGGUUCAAUCUCUGGCCUUGCCCAGUGUGUUACGGAUCCAGUGUUGCUGCAAGCUGCAGCCUAGCUCACAGAUGCAGCUCAGAUCUGGCGUGACUGUGGCUGUGGUGUAGGCAGCUCUGAUUUGACCCCUCGCCUGGGAACUUCCAUAUCUGCACAUGAGGCCUUAAAAAGGAAAAAAAAGAAAAGAAAAAGAAAGAAGAGAAAAAAAGAAAAAGACUGAGAGCCAAGUGGAGAGGGCGAGCAAUUGUUGUUAGAAACCAAAGUGGGAGUUCCCGUCGUGGCGCAGUGGUUAACGAAUCCGACUAGGAACCAUGAGGUUGCGGGUUCGGUCCCUGCCCUUGCUCAGUGGGUUAAGGAUCCGGCGUUGCCGUGAGCUGUGGUGUAGGUUGCAGACGCGGCUCGGAUCCUGCGUUGCUGUGGCUCUGGCGUAGGCUGGUGGCUACAGCUCCGAUUCGACCCCUAGCCUGGGAACCUCCAUAUGCCGUGGGAGCGGCCCAAAGAAAUAGCAAAAAGACAAAAAAAAAAAAAAGAAACCAAAGUGGAGCAUGCAGGGUCUGAACGCAUUGGCUCAUCAGGGCAUGGCCAUUAACAGGAUACAAGGUCUGGCUGGACCCUGGCCUGUUUGAAUGGGGGUCUGUGCUAGAAUUGCCCACUUCUUCACUUGUUGUUUGAGGGUUAAGGCAAAUGCAUCAUACAGGUGUCCCUUGCUUUAUUGCACUUUGCUGCAUGGCGCCUCACAGACAGUGAGUCUUUGACAAAGUGAAGGUUUGUGGCCAGUCUCUCGGUGCCAUGUUUUCAACAACAUUUGCUGACAGUGUAUCUCCGUGUCAGCACCUGAUAAUUUUGGAGAUACUUCCGAUGUUUUCAUUAUUAUUGUCUUUGUUGUAGUGCUGUGAGAUUAGUGAUCUUUGAUUCGUUUCUAUUGCAACUGUUUUGGGGAGCCCCACACAAGGCACUCACAGAAGACAGCAAAUGGAAUCCGUCGUUGACAGCACAGAAUUUAGACUGUGACACUGAAGGUUGUAUUCGUUGAUAUGAUAAUAUAAUUAUGAAAUUAGUUGAUAUAAUAAUAAUUGACAAUCAACAAUGUAUGAGUUGAUAAGGCAGAGACAGGGUUUGAGAGCACUGACUGCACUUUUGAAAGAAGUCCCGCUGAGGUGAAGUGGUACAAAUCACCACUGCGCAUUACAGAGGGCAGGGCAGGCCAAGAUUUCACAGGACGCCAGAAAAGUACCAGCCAUUAAAGGCAAAAAAAGUUGAUUACUAAGCUACCAGCAAGUACCACUAUAAAUACCAUUAUAAGAGCUAAAAUAAAAAGACCAUUUCAAAUUUGAACA